rnacentral:rRNA from 1 species
GACGAACGCUGGCGGCGUGCUUAACACAUGCAAGUCGAACGGAAAGGCCCUGCUUUUGUGGGGUGCUCGAGUGGCGAACGGGUGAGUAACACGUGAGUAACCUGCCCUUGACUUUGGGAUAACUUCAGGAAACUGGGGCUAAUACCGGAUAGGAGCUCCUGCUGCAUGGUGGGGGUUGGAAAGUUUCGGCGGUUGGGGAUGGACUCGCGGCUUAUCAGCUUGUUGGGGGGGUAGUGGCUUACCAAGGCUUUGACGGGUAGCCGGCCUGAGAGGGUGACCGGCCACAUUGGGACUGAGAUACGGCCCAGACUGCUACGGGAGGCAGCAGUGGGGAAUAUUGCACAAUGGGCGGAAGCCUGAUGCAGCAACGCCGCGUGCGGGAUGACGGCCUUCGGGUUGUAAACCGCUUUCGCCUGUGACGAAGCGUGAGUGACGGUAAUGGGUAAAGAAGCACCGGCUAACUACGUG